UGGCGAAUGAACGGGACAGCCCAUCGCCGAACCGCAGGCAUCUUCUGCCUCGUGGAAUGUGGCGUUUGGGAGAGUCUCCUCGCGGCGUGGAUGGCCAGUCAAAGUCCAACUUGACAGUGGCCACGGCCCACAGAGGGUGAUAGGCCCGUAAGGCGGCCGUCCCGCUGCGCUGACUUUUCCCCAGAGUCGGGUUGCUUGGGAGUGCAGCCCAAAGUGCCAGGUAAACUCCUGGUAAGGCUAAAUAUGACCCCGAGACCGAUAGCAAACAAGUACCGUGAGGGAAGAUUGAAAAGAACUUUGAAGAGAGAGUUCAAGAGUACGUGAAACUGUGUGGUGGUAAACGGAGGGGUUCUCGAAGUUUCCGUGGGGGACUCAACCUUGGUGGCGGGCGGCCUGCACGUACCUGAUCAGCAAUGACUCUGCGUGUGGUCCCUCUUGCCUCCCGGACGCACUUUCCCCACGGUCUACGGCAGGAACCGUUGGGACAGGACCGAAGGCCCAGGGUGAAGUUGCCGGUCAUGCCGGCAGCCCCUGGUGUCCUGGCUCCUGGCCCGACGGGUAUGUGAGCGGACUCGUAUAUCGAGCAGUUCUGCUGCUGCGGUUCGCAUAUCUCUGCCGAGUAGGUCGGUGGCCCCUCCGACCCGUCUUGAAACACGGACC
rnacentral:rRNA from 1 species